UGGUGAUGAUGAUGAUGAUGAUAAUGAUGAAGGUCAGAAGAGACUGGUUGCAGGACUGACUCCAGCUGCACGAAGAUCAACUCAUUCAAUGCAUAAUCCUCCUAAUUUUGCUGGUGAUGAAGAAGAAACUCAGAACAGACUGAUCUCAGCGGAACGUAAGUUCAUCACCUGAUCUUAAAGAGAAC